rnacentral:rRNA from 1 species
UACGAAGGGGGCUAGCGGUGCUCGGAAUCACUGGGCGUAAAGCGCACGUAGGCGGAUUGCUAAGUCAGGGGUGAAAUCCUGGAGCUCAACUCCAGAACUGCCUUUGAUACUGAAGAUCUUGAGUUCGGGAGAGGUGAGUGGAACUGCGAGUGUAGAGGUGAAAUUCGUAGAUAUUCGCAAGAACACCAGUGGCGAAGGCGGCUCACUGGCCCGAUACUGACGCUGAGGCACGAAAGCGUGGGGAGCAAACAGG